rnacentral:rRNA from 1 species
UACGGGGGGGGGCAAGCGUUUGUUCGGAAUUACUGGGCGUAAAGGGCUCGUAGGCGGCCAACUAAGUCAGACGUGAAAUCCCUCGGCUUAACCGGGGAACUGCGUCUGAUACUGGAUGGCUUGAGUUCGGGAGAGGGAUGCGGAAUUCCAGGUGUAGCGGUGAAAUGCGUAGAUAUCUGGAGGAACACCGGUGGCGAAGGCGGCAUCCUGGACCGACACUGACGCUGAGACACGAAAGCGUGGGUAGCAAACAGG